rnacentral:misc_RNA from 1 species
AACCUUAUGGACCUGCGGGCGUAUACCUGCGGAGGGAUCAUUAUCAAAACAGCGGCCUUCGGGCCUUGCUGCACCCUUGUCUUUUGCGCACCGUAUUGUUUCCUCGGCGGGCUUGCCUGCCGGUUGGACAUUAUCAAACCUUUUUGUAGUUGCAAUCAGCGUCAGAAAAACAAUAAUUAUUACAACUUUCAACAAUGGAUCU